CAAAAUGUAGCUUAAGAAAAAGCUCCUCGCUUACACCGAGAAGAUGCCUCUUAAAAAAGGCCAUUUUGA
rnacentral:tRNA from 1 species